GUGGGAAUGUACAUUGGUGCAGCCAUUAAAGGAAAAUGGCAAGGAGGUUCCUCAAAAAAUUAAAACUAGAACUACCAUAGGGGAACCUGAUGUCU